ACCAUCGCCAGACCAUCACUAGAUCACCGCAGUGGCGUGGUUUAAGAUGAGUACUCAGCCCUGUUCAUGGUUCGGAGGACAUACCAGGAACAUCUUCCUGGUGAUUAUUUUCAAACACAAGCUUGUGUAUUCAGUAACAUUUAUUUUGCAUGGAUAAAGAAAAAUGGAAAUGCUGACGUCAAAAAAACUGUGUCUUGUCAGAACGAGGCUAAUGGAAAUUCAUACGACUAAGGUGAAAAGUCAACAAAGUAAAAGUCUACACAAAAUUUCAAAUUAGAUCUAUAUGAAAAGCGUUAAUUUUAU
rnacentral:sRNA from 1 species